UACGUAGGGUGCGAGCGUUAAUCGGAAUUACUGGGCGUAAAGCGUGCGCAGGCGGUUUUGUAAGCCAGAUGUGAAAGCCCCGGGCUCAACCUGGGAAUGGCAUUUGGGACUGCAAGGCUUGAGUGCGGCAGAGGAGACUGGAAUUCCUGGUGUAGCAGUGAAAUGCGUAGAUAUCGUGAGGAACACCAGAGGCGAAGGCGGUUACCUGGACAGUUACUGACGCUCAGGCACGAAAGCAUGGGGAGCAAAAGGG
rnacentral:rRNA from 1 species